rnacentral:lncRNA from 1 species
GGAAAUUCAGAUCCAGUUUACUGCAAUAUGAUGUUAUAGAUCCUCAAAGGGAUAUAUCUUCAUUUUCAAAAGAAGAAAAUAAAAUGCCAGUACUCAGUCCUGAAAACAGAUACUUAACUUCAAGAGUCACCAAAAGUUCACUUGAUGGCUGUUUUUUCUUUGAAAAUAGCUGGAAGAAAGCAGCUCUUGAAACACUAAAGAUGAAAAAAGAGUACUCCUCAAUAUUUGGUCUGAAAGAUUUCAAGGAAGUGGGUACAAUUCCAUCUCUACCAGAAGUGCAAAGAUACAGAAAAAAUACAGAGGCUCCACUAGACGUGCUUAAAAGACAUCCAUGUACUCCUCUGAAGACACCUAA